rnacentral:rRNA from 1 species
UAGGGAAUAUUGCAUAAUGGGCGAAAGCCUGAUGCAGCAACGCCGCGUGUGCGAUGAAGACCCUCGGGUCGUAAAGCACUUUUACAGGGGAAGAGGAAGGACGGUACCCUGUGAAUAAGCCUCGGCUAACUACGUGCCAGCAGCCGCGGUAAAACGUAGGAGGCGAGCGUUAUCCGGAUUUACUGGGCGUAAAGCGCGUGUAGGCGGUUUAGAAAGUUGGAUGUGAAAGCUCUCGGCUUAACUGGGAGAGGUCGUUCAAAACUACUAAACUAGAGAGUGGUAGAGGGAGAUGGAAUUCCGGGUGUAGUGGUGAAAUGCGUAGAUAUCCGGAGGAACACCAGUGGCGAAAGCGGUCUCCUGGACCAAAUCUGACGCUCAGACGCGAAAGCUAGGGUAGCAAACG